rnacentral:rRNA from 1 species
AACGAACGCUGGCGGCAUGCCUAACACAUGCAAGUCGAACGAGACCUUCGGGUCUAGUGGCGCACGGGUGCGUAACGCGUGGGAACCUGCCCUUAGGUUCGGAAUACCUCCCCGAAAGGGGUGCUAAUACCGGAUAAUGUCUUCGGACCAAAGAUUUAUCGCCUUUGGAUGGGCCCGCGUUGGCUUCGCUAGUUGGUAGGGUAAAAGCCUACCAAGGCGACGAUCCAUAGCUGGUCGGAGAGGAUGACAAGCCACAAUGGGACUGCGACACGGCCCAGACUCCUACGGAAGGCAGCAGUGGGGAAUAUUGGACGAUGGGCGAAAGCCUGAUAAAGCAAUGCCGCGUGAGUGAUGAAGGCCUUAGGGUUGUAAAGCUCUUUUACCCGGGAUGAUAAUGACAGUACCGGGAGAAUAAGCUCCGGCUAACUCCGUG